GAUUAGAUAGUUUAAUAAAAAUAAUAACUUGUGGAGUUAUAGAAAAUUCUAGUCA
rnacentral:tRNA from 1 species